rnacentral:tRNA from 1 species
GCAUUAAUGGGGUAGUGGUAACCUGGGUCGUUGCCAUUUCGAGCAUGCUCGACCCGCCGGGGGUUCGAUUCCCUCUUAAUGCA